UUGAUUCAUUUUGAAUUUUUGCUCAGAGCUGUAAGAAAUAACGUCCGCGAGGGGACUACAGAAAGAGUUUGGUUGGUUCCUCCGGCGGGCGCCUGGUUCCGGGACGCCGAGGCGCCGGGGCGGUCCCGCCGAAGCAACGUUGGGUAUGUUCACAGGGGUUUGGGAGUUGAUAACUCGGUAAUGAUCCCUCCGCUGGUUCACCAACGGAGA
rnacentral:misc_RNA from 1 species